rnacentral:rRNA from 1 species
CAGAGGGUGCGAGCGUUAAUCGGAAUUACUGGGCGUAAAGCGUGCGUAGACGGUUAUUUAAGUCGGAUGUGAAAGCCCCGGGCUCAACCUGGGAAUUGCAUUCGAGACUGAAUAGCUAGGGUACGGUAGAGGGAAGUGGAAUUUCCGGUGUAGCGGUGAAAUGCGUAGAUAUCGGAAGGAACAUCAGUGGCGAAAGCGACUUCCUGGACCAGUACCGACGUUCAGGCACGAAAGCGUGGGGAGCAAACAGGAUUAGAUACCCUGGUAGUCCACGCCAUAAACGAUGAGGACUAGACGUUGGAGGGGUAAGCCCUUCAGUGUCGUAGCUAACGCGCUAAGUCCUCCGCCUGGGGAGUACGGCCGCAAGGUUG